GAUAGCGCAAGCGCAGCGCUAUAUUCGCCCACAACUUCAGUUCGGUCAACUUCAUCUUCGUCAUUUAGUGGUGACCGAAACUUCGAUGUGUGUGGUAGUGAAGUUAACUUUUCUAACAUAGUAUUCUCACAAAAUAAUAAUAACCAAUUACUAAAGUACUAUUUCGUAUUGAACGUGUUUAUAUAAACUUUUAACGUGUCUUUAGUUGAAUAAAUAGUAAUCAAAAUGUGUGAUAAUACCAAUCCUUCGACACAAAGUAUAGCGGACUACUUAGCUCAGUUGCUCAAAGACAGGAAGCAACUGGCUGCGUUCCCGAAUGUUUUCAUGCACAUGGAGCGACUUCUGGAUGAAGAAAUAGCAAAAGUACGAGCAAGCUUAUUCCAAAUAAAUGGAGUCAAGAAGGAACCACUUAUUCUACCAGAGCCAGAGGGCAUGGUCACCACGCUGACAGAAAAAGUAUAUGUACCAGUAAAAGAACACCCAGAUUUCAACUUUGUGGGAAGGAUUCUCGGACCCAGAGGUAUGACUGCAAAACAGUUAGAACAGGAAACUGGAUGUAAAAUUAUGGUCAGGGGCAAAGGCUCAAUGAGGGAUAAGAAGAAGGAGGACGCCAACAGGGGUAAGCCAAAUUGGGAGCACCUAGCUGACGAUUUGCACGUACUGCUUACAGUCGAAGAUACAGAGAACAGAGCGAAGAUUAAGUUGGCCAGGGCUGUUGAAGAAGUCAAACGCCUGUUGGUACCUCAAGCUGACGGCGAAGAUGAACUGAAAAAACGUCAGUUAAUGGAAUUGGCCAUUAUAAAUGGCACAUACCGUGACUCAAGCACGAAAGCGGUCAUGCCCGUCAACGGUCAGUGCUUAAUAACCGAUGAAGAAUGGCGACGUGUAGCCGCAGAAACCCAGCGGUUAUUGGCACCAACUGGUGGAGUAGGUGGUGUAGGCAGCGUUGCUCUUCGCACAUCAGCGCCAUUGGGAGCUCCGUUGAUACUGUCUCCACGCAUACCUACAGCACCUGGUGGACAAGCUGGGUUGCUUAACGGAUCAGGCGCUGGUGCUGCCGCUGGUCUUCUGUCUCCCGGAGAACCGUCUCACCAGUUGAUCUACGCGUCACCAUAUGCUGACUACGCUAACUACGCAGCCCUGACAGCGGCUGCCAAUCCUCUGCUGACAGCGGAGUACGCCGCCGCCGACCAUACGGCGUCGAGAUAUCUACUUGCUGGCUUUUGACAUUGGCCACAAUUGCAGACCGCAAUAAGAUACGACAGGCUUCCAACUUCAUCGUUACGGUCAACGCAACAUUUUUAGGACCUGGCAAAUUGCAGUCGAAUAUCUUAUACCAUAGACUAUCAAAUCGACUUUAGUUCUACUGCCUGUUUAAAUUACCAUAGAUAAGUCUGGGUGUGGUAUUUUUAUAUGCGUGUCCGCAAGACCUAACCGUCCUUGAAAAAUUGUUUUUUAAAACGCCUCUUCUAAAGUCAUAAGAGCCAUUAACAAGUUAGAUUUAAGUUUUACUUUAAGAACGAUUUAAUUUAGUGACUCGAUAUUGUACCUACGUUAUGUUUUUAAUUUAAAAAACCAACUGUUUUUUCUUUAGCCGUUUUGUACAGUCAUACAAAGUAUAUUUUAUAUCUCAACGAACAAAGGAUAUUAUUUAUUUAUUAUAUAGCAUUAUAAAUUAUUUACACAAAGUAAUAUAAAUGAAAUAUUUAUUUUAACGUUUUCAUAACAGUGUUUGAAGGCAGAUUUGAAUAAAUAUUGUAGUUGAGUACUUCUGAUACUGCCAAUAGAACUCUUAUAAGUUACCGUUUUUCGAUAUACAAAGACAUAGAACUUUAUAUACAUUAUAUUAUUAUUACAUUAUAUAUAAUAGUCGCAUUGAUUAAAAAACAUAAUUUUCUAAUGUUUUUGUGAUAACCCUCGCUUGUAAUACAACUAAUCAAUUAACAUAUUGUUAAUGUUUAUUCACACAGUACCGGCUUUAAUACCGAGAUCACAAGAACGUAACAAUUUAAUGAAAUAAAUACUUCCUUGUGAGACAUAUAUUUAAAUAUUAGAAUUGGUGGAAAGCGUAGACAAAAAUAAAAUUUGCAAAAGCCGGUUCUUUUCAUAAAAUACUUCAGAAACUUGUCAAUAACAUUGUUGCAUGUUAUAAUUUUGAUCAUUAUUAGAUUUCCCGAAUGUGAUUAACAAGAUUUUUUUUUCGUUUUUUAUUAACUGUAAAAAUCUCUGAAUGACGAAAUAAUUAUUAAUAAUUCAGUGAUUACAAGCAAAGGGACCAAAUACAAAUUGAAUAUUUAUUACAAGCAACACAAUCGUAAUAUAUUUAACUAUUAACCACACUGAUUACUAAAAAUCUCAUAAACAUUCAAUUGUAGAAAUUGAAGAAGAACAUUCUAGACAAUUAUAAAUUUUCAACCUUACGAUAAUAACAUAGCAUUUUAUAUAUUGAGAACUAGAAUGUUAUGUUAUUGCUGUAACAAUGUCAUAGUUUAUUAAUUUAUUAGCCAUAUUAUUAUAUUUAUAAACAUACCAUAGGUUUAAGUAUUAUUUUUAUCUUUUAAAGAUUUUUUAGUUAGUGUAGAAAAGAGUGAGCUUUAUGAAAAAAAAAUCAAACAGCCGUUUAUUAAAUAGGUUCAUUAUUCUUUAUUCUUGUUGCUGAGUCAGAUUAUUUUAAAUGAUUAUAUAUUUUUAAUUAAUUUCUGUACGAUCAAAUGAGAUUUAAAGUUUUAUUUUUUAUUUCCAAAGCAAUAAUAUAUUAUUAUAGAUAAAUUUUAGACGUAGAUAAGCAUAAAACUUGAAGUUAGUGAUUACUGCCAAGCGUACGGCUUCUAUAAUAUCUAUGUUAAACAUUUUAAACGUGACCAACAUCGGCGGUUGUUAUUUACUGUUUGCAAACUUUGUACAAAUUGUAUGAAAUUGUAUGGCGUUAAAUUAAUGAGAAUAAUUUCUUUUCAGCAUUUAAAUAUAUAGUUUGUUACAGGCAUCCUAGGCAAUUAAAAACAAUUUAAAUAUCUAAAAUCGUAUCGUUUUUCAUUCCAUGGUAAUGAUAAAAGUGUUAUAUUGUUAAUUAUGUCAGUUUUAUAUGAUCAUCACAUAAACCUUAUUUUUGUAAAGUAUAUAAAAGCCUGGGUGCCGCUCAACGGUAAUUGGUUGAAACUUCAUAAUGCUCUGUUCAGACACAGAUAAUGAAUAUCCUAUGCCGCUAGGUAUCGUGCGGAGGGCGGGACGGCUGACGCAGGUGAGGGAGCACCCUUACCAGCGCACUGCCUUACCGGCGCCUUAAUUCCCGCCAAAACGCUCUCACGCCGCCAUUUUGUUAACAAGGUGAGUGCUAAUGGCGCCGAGGCAUUAACAGAAGAAACGGUCGCCCGCCCGCACAGGACCCUAUGUCGCCGCGUAACAUAUUCAUCGGAACAUCGACCACCAUGUAGCUAUAGCUGUUGGGCCUUUCACGUUAACAUGUACUAUGUAUUUUAAUAGUCUAACUAUUAACAUUUAUAUGCCUGUUAUGUUUAUAACAAGAUGAACUUUAUUAACAAUUUAUAUUAUAUUUCUUUUUGAAGUGGCACACGCCAUCGACUAUAUUUACUGUAUUGUAACAUUGUACUUCUGUUGUCGCUUGACCGUAUUGUUGUUGGAGCACGAGUGUUGUUAGGUUACCCUAUCUACCGCGGCGCUAAAUUUGUUUAAUAAUUUUUUAGUAUUUAGUUAUUUAUUAGAUCUAGUUAUAUAUUAUAUUAUCGAAAUAUAUAAAGUAUCGUUUUGUUGAGCAAAAAAUUUGGCGCCGUCGAAAUAUUAUUUUGAUGGCUUAGAAAUUAUUUUUAAACUGUUUCAAUUUAGAUCAUUUAAUCUUUUAGUAGAGUUGUUCAAUGUAGUUGACGUAAAACUGAAAUCACUUUUGGUUACUGUCUGCUAUUUGAAUGCAUGUUUAUUUAUACAGAAACAUGAAUAAGAUUUUUAUAUUUUAACUUCUACAUUUUUAUAAACGAUUUAUAUGUUAAGUAUAGUACAAAUUACAUAAAUAUUCGUAUUCUGGAGUUGAGAAGAAACAUCGCUUCUCCAGAUAACAAACAAGAGGCAGGAUAGAGGUAACUGGAUGUAAGUAUAAAUGUAUUAGGUAUUAAUCCGCAAAAUUGUAGAUUAGCAUGUUUUCAUUGGACUGAUAAUCGAAUACCUAAUAGUCUUUGUAUUUCAUUUACUUAUUGACUCUAAGAUCGCUUUGGGAAAUUGUUAAACUUGAACCAAAGAAUAUUAAAAUGUCGGUCAUUGGAAUAUUUGAUACGUUUUAUAUCUGACCAAAAUUCAAGAUGUCUUCCGUCACAAAUAAUAAUUGGUCGAUGAGUAAAUGAAUUCGCAUUCGUGAUUAGUUCUUUUUUUUUUAAAUAAUUAUAUUUUAUAAUCUGUAGUGCUUAAUAUUUAUACAUAACAAAUCGUAUAUUGCACAUCCCAUGUGCCUUAAUAAUUAAUGUACAAUGUUUUCAUUUUUGUGGUUCUAUAAAACUGUUAUAUUGAUUAUUUAAUAAUAAAAGUAAAUUUAGAAGAGAUUAAAUUAUUGUUAACUUCGCUUAAUGUUAAUGUUUAUACUUUGUCUUGAAUCAAUUUAGGUAAUUAGUUGUAUUUUUGUAAAUGUAGUAGCUUCUCAAGACUAAUUGUCUUAUGGAUCAUAUAUAUACUUACAUUAAAGCCUUCGUUGCAAUCUCCUGUAAGAAUCUCUUGAUAAUUAUUAUUAUCUGUAUCAGAAUAUCACAGAUCACCUUUUAACGUGUUUUUUAGUGUCUUAAUAAUAAAUGUGUCUCGAAAAUUAAAAAUGUAUAAGCAAUUGCAAAUGGGGCAAUUAUAAUCAUAGAGUUAAUUGUUAUGUACAUAGCUAUGUAUUGUUAAAAGCAAUAAUAUUUCAAUAAUUUACUAUAUUAAAGCUAGUGCAAUAGAUGUUAUAUCAAAUGAAUAUUUUAUAGAAAAUUCUCAUUAUUUGAGCAAUUAUCAAAAGUAAGAGAGAUCUGAUGUUGAGAUUAACGAAAUACUAUUGUAAAAAUUUAAUCACAUGUUACAUUGAGAACGAAAAUUUAUACCUUAAAUUUUAUUUAGAAAUAAGAAUAAAUAUAAAAUAUAACUUUUCACGGGAAAAAGUAAAAAAAAAAAUCGUUGUCUUUAAGUGCCUUGUAUGAAUCUUUAGGAUAUUGUCAAAAUGCAUUCAAAUAAAAAAAAAUGUAUAAAAAUAUCGACAAGAGUAUGUUAAUUUUUUUAGGAACACAUGAAAUUUUUAUUAGCCUUUUAUUCGAAUUGUAUAAUCCUUGUUAACACACUCCGUCCAUGAUUACUUCAUUAUUAGUACUUAAUAUGUUGGUCUCUCACUCAAAUGAAUGACCAUAAAUAUCUCUAUGUAAUGUAUACGUUACGCAACGUAUACAUGUGUUAACAUUUGAAUCUUAUUAACGCCAUUCAUUAUGUUUUUUUAAUAAGAAUCUGAGAAUUUAAGUAUCUAGAUAUUAUCUAUACCUCAUACAAUCGUUAAUUUUUUUCAUAAAUUUGCAAUAGAUAUAUAUUAUAUUUAAGACCUUUUGAAACAUCUUUGUCAAUAUUUUUCGUGUCAAUUUCAUUGUUAAAAAUAUUAAUUAUCUUUAUAUGUGGUGCUAUAAAUUGCAUCAAAAUAAUUUCUGGCAACACCUUAAAUUAGUAAAAUAUUAAUCACUUAAAUAGAAUUAUGUUUGAAUCAAGUUUUAACAUUAUAUAAAAUAUUUUAACAUUAAAUAUAUAGCACCCAUUAUUUUAAAUCGAGUAAGUUAAACGAUAAUAUUUUCUGUAGCAUUUGGCUGUAUCUUUGUCUAUGGUACAAAAAAUAGCAUUUAAAAAAUAUCAGAUGCCAUACAGUUUUCGCAUGAAAAAUUUAACAUCUAUCUAUAAUAUCAGUAUAAUAAUAUCGUGAUUAAUGAAGUUAACGUACAAAGUUUUUGAAAGUCUGUGUAUAGUUAUUUUACAAUGUUUCAAACACGAUGUAUUGUUCAUUGAAACAUUUUUUGUGCCAUCAUCAGACGGACUUUCAUGUUUUUUUUUAAUAAUAUUUGUACUUAUACCUACAAUGGCAAAUCACAAAUGUGCCUUAAAAUGAACUUUGUAAAUAAAUAUAUACUAUAAUUUUCAAUAAAGUAUUAAAGGAGAAUAAAUUCUUACAAAUUGUUUUCCAAAAACAAAAUAGAGUAUAUCUACUUUUAAAGCUUAGUUAAGUGAGAUUGUGCAUAUUACUUAUGUCUGUUUUGAUGUGUGUUUAAGAUUGAUUUGGCAUUAGUAAAUAUAUUAUUUGGAAAAAAUC